rnacentral:rRNA from 1 species
AGUGAACGCUGGCGGUAGGCCUAACACGUGCAAGUCGAACGGCAGCACAGUAAGAGCUUGCUCUUACGGGUGGCGAGUGGCGGACGGGUGAGGAAUACAUCGGAAUCUACUUUUUCGUGGGGGAUAACGUAGGGAAACUUACGCUAAUACCGCAUAUGACCUACGGGUGAAAGCAGGGGAUCUUCGGACCUUGCGCGAUUGAAUGAGCCGAUGUCGGAUUAGCUAGUUGGCGGGGUAAAGGCCCGCCAAGGCGACGAUCCGUAGCUGGUCUGAGAGGAUGAUCAGCCACACUGGAACUGAGACACGGUCCAGACUCCUACGGGAGGCAGCAGUGGGGAAUAUUGGACAAUGGGCGCAAGCCUGAUCCAGCCAUACCGCGUGGGUGAAGAAGGCCUUCGGGUUGUAAAGCCCUUUUGUUGGGAAAGAAAAGCAGCAGGUUAAUACCCCGCUGUUCUGACGGUACCCAAAGAAUAAGCACCGGCUAACUUCGUG